UAGGGAAUCUUCGGCAAUGGGGGCAACCCUGACCGAGCAACGCCGCGUGAGUGAAGAAGGUUUUCGGAUCGUAAAGCUCUGUUGUAAGUCAAGAACGGGUGUGAGAGUGGAAAGUUCACACUGUGACGGUAGCUUACCAGAAAGGGACGGCUAACUACGUGCCAGCAGCCGCGGUAAUACGUAGGUCCCGAGCGUUGUCCGGAUUUAUUGGGCGUAAAGCGAGCGCAGGCGGUUUGAUAAGUCUGAAGUUAAAGGCUGUGGCUCAACCAUAGUUCGCUUUGGAAACUGUCAAACUUGAGUGCAGAAGGGGAGAGUGGAAUUCCAUGUGUAGCGGUGAAAUGCGUAGAUAUAUGGAGGAACACCGGUGGCGAAAGCGGCUCUCUGGUCUGUAACUGACGCUGAGGCUCGAAAGCGUGGGGAGCGAACAGGAUUAGAUACCCUGGUAGUCCACGCCGUAAACGAUGAGUGCUAGGUGUUGG
rnacentral:rRNA from 1 species